rnacentral:rRNA from 1 species
UACGAAGGGCGCUAGCGUUGUUCGGAAUCACUGGGCGUAAAGCGCACGUAGGCGGACUCUUAAGUCGGUGGUGAAAUCCUGGAGCUCAACUCCAGAACUGCCUUCGAUACUGAGAGUCUCGAGUCCGGGAGAGGUGAGUGGAACUGCGAGUGUAGAGGUGAAAUUCGUAGAUAUUCGCAAGAACACCAGUGGCGAAGGCGGCUCACUGGCCCGGUACUGACGCUGAGGUGCGAAAGCGUGGGGAGCAAACAGG